rnacentral:rRNA from 1 species
AUUGAACGCUGGCGGCAGGCCUAACACAUGCAAGUCGAACGAGUGGCGGACGGGUGAGUAAUGUCUGGGAAAGUGCCUGAUGGAGGGGGAUAACUACUGGAAACGGUAGCUACUACCGCAUACCAUCGGAUGUGCCCAGAUGGGAGUAGGUAGUAGGUGGGGUAAAGGCUCACCUAGGCGACGAUCCCUAGCUGGUCUGAGAGGAUGACCAGCCACACUGGAACUGAGACACGGUCCAGACUCCUACGGGAGGCAGCAGUGGGGAAUAUUGCACAAUGGGCGCAAGCCUGAUGCAGCCAUGCCGCGUGUAUGAAGAAGGCCUUCGGGUUGUAAAGUCCUUUCAGCGGGGAGGCGUUACCCGCAGAAGAAGCACCGGCUAACUCCGUGCCAGCAGCCGCGGUAAUAC